AUGAGAAAUGCUUACACUAUAGGCAUGAGAAGCACACAAUUAAGUGAGAGCUUGAAUAGUGACUUGAAAGACCAUUUGAAGUCUGAUCUUGACAUUCUUCGUUUUUUCAAGCACGUAGAGAGGGUUAGAGGUUUACUUGACUCCCAACGAUGGACUCGAGAAGCACGAAGCGGCACUAUUCAAAACAGCCAUGGCAACAUUGUUUUGGAAGACCCUAGAUCGGAAGAUAGGCAGCAGCUGAAGUUUUUCAUGCACGAGUUCCUUGGCAUAGCUUCCCAAGCAGUUGCCUCCUACUACUACAUGCAGAACUGA
rnacentral:rRNA from 1 species